UAGAAGUAUAGAAGACUUUCCUUGUGGCAGCAAAUGUAAUUUGCAGCUAGGGUCAGUCUAGCGACUCUCUGUUGGCUUGUGAGCUGGAAAAAAACCCAUUGUGUUCAGGCCAAUCACAUCGUGUAUAGAGUCGGUGGGC